AGUGAACGCUGGCGGUAGGCCUAACACAUGCAAGUCGAACGGCAGCACAGUAAGAGCUUGCUCUUACGGGUGGCGAGUGGCGGACGGGUGAGGAAUACAUCGGAAUCUACUUUUUCGUGGGGGAUAACGUAGGGAAACUUACGCUAAUACCGCAUACGACCUACGGGUGAAAGCAGUGGAUCUUCGGACCUUGCGCGAUUGAAUGAGCCGAUGUCGGAUUAGCUAGUUGGCGGGGUAAAGGCCCACCAAGGCGACGAUCCGUAGCUGGUCUGAGAGGAUGAUCGGCCACACUGGAACUGAGACACGGUCCAGACUCCUACGGGAGGCAGCAGUGGGGAAUAUUAGACAAUGGGCGCAAGCCUGAUCCAGCCAUACCGCGUGGGUGAAGAAGGCCUUCGGGUUGUAAAGCCCUUUUGUUGGGAAAGAAAAGCAGCAGGUUAAGACCCCGCUGUUCUGACGGUAACCAAAGAAUAAGCACCGGCUAACUUCGUG
rnacentral:rRNA from 1 species